GCCGGGAAGGGCCCUAUAAAAGCCCGGGUGCUAUUUACGCCGCGCGGGUUGGGCUGUUGCGCCUGCGCGGUGAGAGCGGGGCCUGCCGCCGGUGGGAGCCCGCGGGGCGGCCCUGGGCCCCUCUCAGGCAGAGAGGGGAACUGUGUGGAGGUGUUCCCCCUGCCCCUGCUUGGCUUUGAGCUGGGUAGACUAUGGGGCUCGCUUCGGGUCUAGUAGUGUGUGGCCUGUAGGGGAGCCUUGCUGCUCGGCGCGGCCCCCUGUCCGGGUGUUGCUAGGCCAGGGGGAGGCGGCUGUGGUGGGGGUUGUGGUGUCAGGCUACCCCGUCUGUCUGCAGGCCUUUCAGAUGUGCCUGUUGGGGCUGGGAGUUGGUUCCCUGUUUCUUCCAGUCGAGCAGUCUUCAUCCUGACUUUCAUGGUACAGCAGGACCCCACUAGGUGCCAGCUUCAAGGAUGGGAAGGAGGGAAGGACUGGCGGAUACCCCCUCAGAGUGAAACAUGCUGUAGCUGAGCAGCAAGGACAGACCUGCCGGUGACCUACAAGAACCUCCAGUCUCGUCUGAGCAGGACAGUGCCUCUGCUCUGCUCCCUUCCUGCCCUCUGCUGCUGCACUCUGGAGAAGCCAAAUCACAGAAGGACCACAGGAGGACACCUGGUGUGUGCUUAUACAGCUGGAAGGGGAAAGAAGUCCUGGCCUUGCCCUGCUACUGGAUGAAAGGUUUACCCCAAAUCAGCUGCAACCGGGCAGGGUGAGAACUGAAGCUUUAGGAGCACUCAGUGCAUUUGGAUGGGUGGUCCUGUACCGCCAGGGAACUGUCCUGGAGACUCCCCCUACCUACACGCAAAAAUGAGAGAAAAUGCACAAUAUACUCCGUUGCUCAAGUCCCCUGCUCCAAGUGACAGAUUUCUAGGCUGCUUUUAGUGCCUUCUGCCGGAGGAGGGCGCUGUCAGAUCAGCAUUGAACUGCUCAGCAAGCGAAGAUGCCCACCUGGGAACUGGUUAAACUGAGUGGCCCACUGACUUGCAGGAGGUGGACACUAACCUGAAAAGCACUUACAUCUUUUGCUUUAACUGCACGUACGGGGUGUUUUGUGUCCCUGUACGAUGAAAACCACACUAACUUGUCUGCUGGGACAGUGGGAGCAGCAGGCCUGAGAAGCUGCUCAGAGGUGGCACAUUUGGCAGUGGAGUCUUGCACUUCUUGUUGUUGGGGCAGUGGCCCCCUCCCUUGCACCCAGAGCCCCUGGAAAACUGCAGCCUGUGCAACACCUUCCUGCUAAAGGCUAGAGAGAGAGCACCCUCCUCUGCAUCUGAGUGAUGCAAGCAGCCCUUUUAUCCAGGAUACCUGCCGGGCAGUAGAAGCAGGCAACCAAAAAGCUAGGUUAAACUGGUCUGAGGUUGACUCAAGCCAACGUGGACUGGUCUGAAGUGGAAUAACAACCUCAUCCCUUCUGCUGUUUCUACUGGUACAACUCGUCAGUAGCCUUCCUGCCUCAGCCAGUAGCAGUGUGACAAAGUAUGGCUUAAUUACAACCCUGAAAUAAAGGGAAUUUCUUUAUUAGAUGUUGCUCUACG
rnacentral:lncRNA from 1 species